rnacentral:rRNA from 1 species
UACGAAGGGGGCUAGCGUUGCUCGGAAUUACUGGGCGUAAAGCGCACGUAGGCGGAUUGUUAAGUCGGGUGUGAAAUCCUGGAGCUCAACUCCAGAACUGCCUUCGAUACUGGCGAUCUCGAGUUCGGGAGAGGUGAGUGGAACUGCGAGUGUAGAGGUGAAAUUCGUAGAUAUUCGCAAGAACACCAGUGGCGAAGGCGGCUCACUGGCCCGAUACUGACGCUGAGGUGCGAAAGUGUGGGGAGCAAACAGG